UUUUACAAUUUACCAGAUUGUCCGACCUCCUCACUCACUUGCUUCCAAACAAAAUCCUUUUUAUUCCUGUUUCUGUAAAAGUACGAAAAUGUAGGCUAUCAUACAGCUCUGGGUGUCCACAAACAGCCAUGAUUAUUUUGUCCUCCAUUAUUGUUUGGGAUUCCCUCCGCUCGCUACGUCGUAAUCACGUCACUACUAGAGCAAGCUCCUGAUUGGUUAACGCGACGCGAAUUUUCACCAAAGUUCAGAUUUUUCAACUCGUGCGGUUCGCGCGAAUCACGCGUUACGCGCGUCAAACGCCCGAAACGCUCAAUUCGCGCCGCAGAAUGUCUAUUCGCGUCUUUGCAUUGACUUGACAUGUAAAUCACUCGCGCUUAACGCUUCAUUCGCGUCUGGUGUGAACGCACCUUUACUGUGCGUUCACACCAGACGCGACUUGCGCAAAUAAAUCGCGCUAUUCGCGCGUAGUUGGACGCCUUAUGGCGAAAAAAGUUCGCCAUAAGGCAGAUUCGAACCCCGGUCGAUCGUGUCAAAAGGAGCUUGACGCACGGUUUACCAUCUGCGCCACUGAAUCUGAUGGCUGAUGGUCGUCGCCGCGCGGCGGCCGCGGAUUCUUUAGCUAAACGGCCCUAAACCGUUUCCCAUUCAUUCUCGAUGGUAGUGCUAAACCACUACGGAUGCGAUAUACUUCGGCCGCUAGCGCUCUCGUGGCGCUCUUCCGCGUUUCGGCACCCGCGGGAAGUUUGAAUUCGCAGAAGAAGACGACUGUUUAAUUCAACGCAUUCUCAGCGCAUCUGUCAAAGAGACCACUGUUUCUACACUGCUGUCAUCUUCUCCUGGUACCCAUGCAGAUCCUCAGUCAGAUACAGGAAAUACAUAUACGCCACCUCUGCCUCUGCUGGCCUCACUUGCGACCCCCUGGACCUGUGAAGACUGGUGGCAGGGUGUUUGUACUGGAGCACAAACACAGAGCCCAUUGACAACUUGCUUAAUAAACACCGUGGGAAGAAGGACAUCCUCAGGAGCAUGCAGCGAUGGUCCACAAUUCCUCUACUGAUCCAAACAGCAUGCUCCAUUCGACCACAAAACUGCACAUUUCACUGUAUGUCAAGCACCUGGCCAAACUGCAGAACACCAGUUCUUCAUUAAACAACUCCAGAGAAACGUCUUGAAAGCGGGCAGUAAAACAACCAGUGUGCCAGUGGUAACAAUGAAGCCUGCGGAUGUAAACCCACCAGCACCUGCUCUGACCACACUCCUAACUCAUGAGACCAUUGAGACAAUUGUGUUAUGGAGCGGCAGCAGCACCCUGAGCAGGAGAAGACUUGUCUUGCUUGUGGACAGCCAAAGAUGGUUCCUCUAACCACUUUUUUCUUAAUCAGCAAGGCGCUGUCAGGUACUUCUACUGUUCCACAAAGGUUUUUAAUGCUUACAGUGAUUAAGAACUAACACACCCCAGAGUUAUUUAAGAGUGAACUUGAGGACACAAAGAAACGGGUGGAGGAGAAAGGACAGCAAAAACACAAAAGGCCUGAAACUGAACACGUUAGUCGCUUGUGCAGAUUUUGUAAAAUGGAGCUGAAGCAGGGUCCAAACAGUCUUCACAUACACACAGGCUUUCCUGGCGUAGCAGGGAAAUAUGUUCAUUGCCCUGCUAAAGUCUUUUCCAUUUACCAACCUCAGGACAUGCAGAAAGAUGACUCGGAAAGAGUUUAAUGAGUCGGAGAUGGGUGGCAGAAAAAAAAAAAAAAGAAGACAUUUCUUUUGCCCCUUAAUAAUAUUUAACUCAUGUAUAUACUGUAUAUUUUGAUUUGUUUAUUGUUCAG